rnacentral:tRNA from 2 species
GCUCGAGUGGCGGAAUUGGUAGACGCGCACGGUUCAGGUCCGUGUGGUGGCAACACUGUGGGGGUUCAAGUCCCCCCUCGAGCACCA